rnacentral:rRNA from 1 species
GAUGAACGCUAGCUACAGGCUUAGCACAUGCAAGUCGAGGGGCAGCGGUAUCGAAAGCUUGCUUUCGGUAGCCGGCGACCGGCGCACGGGUGAGUAACGCGUAUCGAGCCUGCCUCAUACUCGGGAAUAGCCUUGCGAAAGUAAGAUUAAUGCCCGGUGUUUUCAGAGUCCCGCAUGAGGCUUUGAACAAAGAUUUAUCGGUAUGAGAUGGCGAUGCGUCCCAUUAGCUUGUUGGCGGGGUAACGGCCCACCAAGGCAUCGAUGGGUAGGGGUUCUGAGAGGAAGGUCCCCCACAUUGGAACUGAGACACGGUCCAAACUCCUACGGGAGGCAGCAGUGAGGAAUAUUGGUCAAUGGGCGGAAGCCUGAACCAGCCAAGUAGCGUGCAGGAAGACGGCCCUCCGGGUUGUAAACUGCUUUUAGUUGGGAAUAAAACGGGGCUCGUGAGCCCCCUUGCAUGUACCAUCAGAAAAAGGACCGGCUAAUUCCGUG